rnacentral:rRNA from 1 species
CAGUAGCCGCGGUAAAACGUAGGUGGCAAGCGUUGUCCGGAAUUAUUGGGCGUAAAGGGCUCGCAGGCGGUUUCUUAAGUCUGAUGUGAAAGCCCCCGGCUCAACCGGGGAAGGUCAUUGGAAACUGGGAAACUUGAGUGCAGAAGAGGAGAGUGGAAUUCCACGUGUAGCGGUGAAAUGCGUAGAGAUGUGGAGGAACACCAGUGGCGAAGGCGACUCUCUGGUCUGUAACUGACGCUGAGGAGCGAAAGCGUGGGGAGCGAACAGGAUUAGAGACCCGAGUAGUCCCUGUCUCUUAUAC